rnacentral:lncRNA from 1 species
AAUAUCAAUGAUAUCAGAUGAAAACACUACCGCCAGAAACAACCUGCCAUGACUUAGCAUCAGUUCUGGCAAAACUGCAAUGAAAAUUGUUCCACCAAGUAGUUGUACAGGUGUGACAGUACUAUUGCUAUACCUUCUUGAUCCAUGGAACUUUAAUAUGUUUUGGACCGCUGCUUGGGGCUGCCGAGUGUGACGAGUUCUCCUCGCGUCAUGAGGCUAUACCUAGGUACGCGCGAUUCACCCAAUCCACCGCGACCUCGAUCUAAUCCGGCAUUGGCAGGAGACUAUAGGAAGGUCCUUUAGAAGGUUACUGUUGCCUUGACAACCGUCGGCUGACUCGGAUCUUCCCUGCCGCCCUGUUGCAGCAAUCGACGGCUUGCUAUCUUCUUCAUUAGUACGGCAUCUAGGAAUCCAUGUACAAGCUAGCAGCCUCGGCCUGCAUUCUGAGGAAUUGAUCUCAUUACUUUAUCUAGAGAUUGAUUAAUACUUUCCUACUCAUGAAGAUAAAUUGAUCUUUUGCAUUCUCUUCUUCUCAACCAGGCUUGAUAAUUGUUACACAGUUGCCUUAUUACGUGGAUGUGUAGAUAAACCUGGAGGCCCGGACUUUGCUCGGAAACUCAAUGGACGUCCGGAGAACGUGAUCCCAGGAGAAACUAAGCUGUAUAGUCCUUACGGCCAAAGCUCCUCUCCGAGUCGCCCGCACCUGACCUGCAGAACAAAAACAGAGGAAGAUGAGGUAGGGGGAGCACGAACUGAGAGGGUACAGUGGCCGGUAACCGGAUCGGCACCAUGUACGAGCCCAGCGGCGGCGGGCCCUGGGAGGCCAGGAGCUGAGGCCGACGCCCUCCUCAACGUCGAAGUCAAAGUAGCUCCGGCCGGCUGCUUCGAAUCCUUUUGUCGCCGGCUUCGGCGGCCUCGCUCCGUCGUAGGUGGCAGGUUCUGGACGGGAACCGAGCGCGGGGGUGGGGGGUGGGGGGCGACGCCGGAUUCGGCGGCGACCAGAUCGGAAGGGGAAGAGGUGGGUUCGGGAGCGAUAGAGAUAGAUCGCGUUUGACUGACCUACAAUUUUUUUUUCCACCGGAAAACCAACUUGGGAAGAGAACGCGAUGGGUGGAGGGAUUGACGAAUC